rnacentral:pre_miRNA from 1 species
AGUUUUUUGAAUCCGUGCUGAUACUUCGUCAGACACCAACCCAUUAGGAUUGAUUAGACUUCCAAGAUAAGUGAAGUU